ACUAGUCUCUUUCUUUUUAUCUAGGGUAUUUUGGGGUUUUCAAGCGUUUCACUUUUCCUUUAUCUGCGUAGCAACAGUCUUGAUUAUGCGUAGCAAGAUUAGCCUAGCAACAAUCUUGAUGAGUUUCAGGGAUACUUCUUUAUCUCAAUAACCAGUGGUGGCCAUAGUUCACGACGGUAGUCCUCGAAGGCGUUGCGUCUAUUCUUGUCAUCUUGGGCGAAGGAUGAGUUUCGGGGGUAAUUCUUUAUCCCAGUAAACCAGUGGUGGCCAUAGCUCACGAUGGUAGUCCUCGAAGGCGUUGCAUCCAGCAUUCUUCUAUUCUUGGGCGAAGGAUGAGUUUCGAGGGUAAUUAUUUAUCCCAAUAAACCAGUGGUGGCCAUAGCUCACGACAGCAGUCCUCGAAGGCGUUGCGUCCAACAUUCUUCUCUUCUCAGAUGGGGAGGCCGAGGCAGAGUCACAAAGAUAUAUGCAGAUGAAAUAGGUGCAGAUCAUCAGGCUCGCCAGGAAACUUAUUAAUUUGGACAUGGUAAUGUAUAUUUUGUUUGGCUCCUUUGUUUAUUUGAGUUUGUAUUAAUCAAGUUAUGGUGAAAUGGUUGUCAGUUAAAUCUUUGUCUUU